AGAGUUGAUCAUGGCUCAGGACGAACGCUGGCGGCGUGCCUAACACAUGCAAGUCAACGGGACUAUACCGAUUAAUCUUCGGAAGCGUUGAUAUAGUUAGUGGCGGACGGGUGAGUAACACGUGAGCAACCUGCCUUUCAGAGGGGGAUACCGUUUGGAAACGAACGCUAAUACCGCAUAAUGCAGCGUGACCGCAUGAUCGUGCUGCCAAAGGAGCAAUCCGCUGAAAGAUGGGCUCGCGGCUGAUUAGAUAGUUGGUGGGGUAACGGCCUACCAAGUCGACGAUCAGUAGCCGGACUGAGAGGUUGAACGGCCACAUUGGGACUGAGACACGGCCCAGACUCCUACGGGAGGCAGCAGUGGGGAGUAUUGCGCAAUGGGGGCAACCCUGACGCAGCAACGCCGCGUGUGGGAAGAAGGUCUUCGGAUUGUAAACCAUUGUCUUCGGUGACGAUAAUGACGGUAACCGAGGAGGAAGCUCCGGCUAACUACGUGCCAGCCGCCGC
rnacentral:rRNA from 1 species